GGACCUACAUGGCCUCCACCUGUCUUGGUCCUCCCCCCCCCUACCUUUUAACAAAUUGCAUCUUUUACUUGUUUAGAUUUGCAGCUCUAAGCUGAGAGUGUGUCACAAUUUGGUCUGAUGAUCUGAAAAGCCCCGCAAAACCCAUCAAAUGCCAAUAAAUUGGGGGGGGGGUCUAACUGUUGAUAUUUUGAGCUUCAGAGCCCAGGCCAAAUGACCCUCCUGCCAACCCUGCCUCUGAAUAGUACUGAUCUCACAUGAGAAAAGGCUGAGUCUGUCAGCAUCGCAAUAGCUCACCUGUGCAAGAUGUCUUUUCAAAGUGAUUCCAUGCUAAUUGUUUUCAUGCUUCUAGAGAAAUAGACCUUGGAAAUGGCUUCAGGGUUAGUUACCACAUCCCAAGGCUGUAAACAGAGCGAGGAAACUUAUAGCAUAGGAGGUGUUGCCACAAUUAGCUGUUGUAUCUAAAAAUAACAAAGCUAAGUGAGAACAAAGAUUCACCCUGGCUACACACAUUACAUUUUAAACACUAGAAGGACAUUAUUUCCCUCAAAUAAUUCUGGGUCCUGCAGUUUGUUAAGGGUUGCUGAAAACCGUAGCUCUGUGAGGGGUAAACUCGAGUGACCAGAACACUUGGAAGGAAAAAUAUGCUUCAAAUACUCUUUAAAGCUACUUAUAACGAACAAGGCCUUCUUAAUGUACUUGGCGUCUUUUGGAAAUCUCUAAUCGUUUCUGCCAGCUUCAAAGAUGUCGGAUAUAUGCAACCACAGGAGAGUUGCAGUAAAUGUCUUCUUUAAAUAUUUCAGUUCUAAUCUGCUGAAUCUACCAAUGGAAAGAAAAUGCUGAAACCCACAAUCGCAUUAGAUCUCCAUUAUAGAUUAAAAUAUUUCGAAAUACUUCAAGGGUAAGCACCCAUAUGGAGAAAAUCACAUUAACAUGGCAGUCAUGUGGAGUUCCGCAGAUGGUCCGGGAAUCGGCAUGUUUUUACAUGAGUAGAAUGUGACCUUUUAUUUAAAAUGCAUCUCUGGGUUAUUUGUGGGGCAUAGGAAUUCGUUCAUUCCCCCCCCCCCAAAAAAAAUAGUCCGGCCCCCCACAAGGUCUGAGGGACAGUGGACUGGCCCCCUGCUGAAAAAAAUUGCUGACCCCUGUCCUAUAACAAGGGAUACACUCCCUCACAGUACACAGCACUACAACACUAUUUGCGAUGCUGUUUGCUUAUUAAGCAGUUUUGUGUUUUUUAUAUUGUAGCUUUAUGUUGCGAACAGCCCUGAGAUCUGCAGAUGAAGGGCAGCAUGCAAAUUUAAUAAACAAUAGUAAGCGAGAGCAGCUACCGGUAUGUGGGAAGUGUUGCGUUCUUACAGCGCAGUGCUUAGGCAUGUCUGCUCAGAAGAAAGUAAUUGACCGAGACAGGGAAAUAUUUCCUUAUGGCCAAAUAGUGUAUUAAUGGCAGAGGUGAGAUUUGAACCCAGGACUUUGGGUUAUCGUUCCAUCAGCCACUAUGCUACACUGCUUUUAUGAUGUAGAAUCAUAUCAUUGAAGAGUUGGAAAGGUACCACAAGGGUCAUCUAGUCCAACCCUCUGCAAUGCAGGAAUCUUUUGCCCAAUGUGGGGCUCGAACCCACAACCCUGAGAUUAAGAGCCUCAUGCUCUACCAACGAAGCUAUCCCAGUUCCAUUCUCAGAGCUGCAUUGCUAUUGCAAACAGAGGGUUCCCACUCUAGAGACUGUUAAGUGCACCCCACUUGCCUGAGCAGGAAGAAGUUCCAGAGGCAAUGCUGCAGGCUUGAGUUUCCUUUGAUGCGAGAGCACAGAAGGCUUAGGGUGUCUUCGUAAUAUUUGCUUUAUUGAUAAAUACACACAGAGCAUAAGCGGAGGCAAACAGACUCCUAAGCAAGGUUACAAAACCCUGGCCCUGCAUCAGUCUUUAUCAUUCCCCUCCACCCUGCAUGCCACAUUGGAAUUCCUGAAUGAGAUCCCAGAAUGCAGCUCACCCCCACACUUGUGAAAUACCGAAUUGUUUUGGAUGGUAGUGGUGGCAGCCUAGAGUGGGUUUAAUGCAGGUACGUUGGCCCUUCCCCUUCAUAUAGGGGAAGCUGUUCCAUUCAGUGGCGUAGCGUGGAUUGCCAGCACUUGGGGUUUGGUCCCUGGCACCUCCAGUUAUGAGGAUCAGGAAGCAAAUGAUGGGAAAUAACUCUUCCUGAGAUGCUGGGGAGCUACUGCCAGUAAGAGUAGGCAAUGCUGAACUAGACGGACAAAUAAUCUCACCUGCUAUUAGUUGGCUUCCUGUGUACAGUGUCCCAUGCGUAGCCCAGCAUCCCCAUCCUUGAUAGCAUUGCUCUCUUCCUACAUAUUAGUGGUGGGGAACCACUGGCCCUCUGGAUGUUGCUGGGCUACAACUCUCCCCGACUUUGUAUGGGAGCUGCCCUGCUUGACCAACAUACAGGCAGGGCCGCCUUAAGCAUAUCCGGCGCCGUAGUGCAAAGCUCCCUCCGGCGCCCCCCAGAGUUUUUUUUAGGGAGGACGGCGCUGCUGGUGGGGCUGGAGGAGGUGGGCAGUGGCUGGAGGGCAGCUCCUCCGGCGGGGAAAAUGCGGAGGCUGUAUGCGGCACCUCCCGGCUCAGCUGGCCACUUCAUGUCGCAGUGGCCACAGCAGACAGAGGCUCCGGGCGCAGCGCUGCUUCGGCAUGGAGGCGGGCAAGGGCAGCGAGCUGAUGCCGGGAGGCACUGCGUCCAGCCUCUGUUUCUUCCCUGGCUCCCUCCAGAACUUGGCGUCCUGGCGCCCCGCACUACUAGCCUCUAUGGGUAAGACGCCCCUGUAUACAGGGUCUUUUUUGAGAGGAAAGAUGGACAGCCUGUGACAACAAAGCCAAGGGAUUCCAAGGGCCGACUCUAGGCCCUGGCGGGUGCCUAGCAAUGCUGGCCGCUGCUACCAGCCCCACAGGUAGGUGCAGCUUGGGAAAAGCAGGUU